rnacentral:misc_RNA from 1 species
CAGGCGUCCCAUACAACUCGGCUAACGCUCGAAGACAAUAAUAAUAUCGUCGCGAGCAAAUGCGGUUUUGUGUGUGUGGAGUUUUGUACAGAUAUGGACAAUAAAGAAGCUCGAAAUGAAGAACGAGAAGUUUUGCAAUCCAUCUACGAAGGAGAUGAAAAUUUUAAAGAGCUGAACCCAACCACAUUUCAAUAUCGGGUUGGAGACAUUGGUCAUUUUAAAUCAUUUUUAUUAGAAAUUGCCUGGGGUGAUAAUUAUCCAACAGAGUUACCUAAUAUUAACUUUGAUACAUUCUACAUUAAUCAUAUGUAAGUGAUGUACACAUAUUUCAAACUCUUUUUUCAGGAAAUUAUUUCUAUUUUUGUUGACUUUUAAAUAUGAGUUAAUCUACUAUGUAAAUUAUUACCAUGUUGUGUUAUAGGUUCACACUGUUGUUAAUUGCACAGAUAUUGGUUGAUAAGGAAAAAAUCCCUAGACCUAUAUUAAAUAGUAUUCAUCAGUCCAAAGCAAGUAAUUAAAUUCGUUUUACUAAUGAUCAUCAUAAGUAGAUUGUUAUUUUCUCUCAUUUUAUUAUUUCUUGUGCUCAACAAUUAUG